AUAUAUGAAAACGAUAUUCCUGAUAUGUGUCCCAGUGGCGUGAUAUCUUUGAAGCAUCACUCGAAGUUGAAAUGUAUCUUACUCAAGGACAAGGACAAGGCACAAGCGAUUCAUUUGGGAACUUGCCACGCACUCAGUUUUAAAUAUCACGUGCUAUACGAUCAUCUUCUGAGUUUUGACACCAGAAACUCCCCACUCAGAUGGAAACUUUACUUGUUUUCCUCAUUUCAUUUCUCAAUGGGAGGAAGGCA